CUCAAUACAGUGAUUCAGUAUCUUUAAAACCCUAAAGUUCCAAUAUGUAUUUUAAGGCAUCAAGUCUAAAGCAUGAGAUAUUUGUACAUGGCAGAAUGGAGGCCGUUGCUGUCAUCCACCUGGAAGGAUUACUGUUGGAAAGAAUCACCACACUGAGAGUUACUCCUGCAGUGUCUAGCUGACCUACCUGAUGAGAAGGGAGACGUUCCUCCUGAAGGUUUCCAUUCCUUCUUUGAGCCACUCGGGCAGCGACUCCCCAUGCACUACAACUGAAGGAGUGAUGAUCACAUCAUGGAAAAGAGAAUCAAAGACAGUGAGAAAUGAACAGCUGGAGUUUCUGAAUAGGUGUGACUGUAUCACUGGACUUAACAGAACUGGCUGCUUUACAUCAGCUCUAGCAUACGGACAUGAGACAGGAUGAACAGACUGAGAGACUGCACCUGCAGAAUAAGCCAGAGGAUGGGACCCAGUACAGCCCAGCCUGCCUGCUGGAACCUCGUGCCUG